GGUGGGUCUCCCGCCUGUGGAUUCCCUUGCUCUGCAGGGCUCCGCUGUCCGCAUCACAAGAAAGGAAGGAACCCCCACCUGUCCACUUCACCGGGUCCUGGGGCAACCGGGGCCGCCAGGUUGUAGUCCUUGAAGAGAACUCUCCAGAAGUCCAGGAUGGCAGCUGCAUCCCGGGUCAGGAGCCAGGAGAGGAGUGCGUGGAAGGCCUGUGGGCAGCCCUCCUUCUCCUUCAGACGCAGCGUCUCCUGAAGGAUGAGUUGUGUGUGUAUGGAGGGGCCCUGCCUGCUGCUUCCAGGGCUCCCCCAGUCCUGCAGCCCUCACAGUGGGGCUAGAGGGUGGUGGACCCCGAGGAGCGGCCUGGGCACCUUGGCUUGGGACAGAAGAGGAAGCCGAGGGCGCUGGGCCUCCAGGCUUGGGCCCUGAGAGUUCAGUUCUGGACAUGCUGAGAUUGCUCCAGGGAAGGCAGCAGGCAUUAUGGCGCUGUCCAGGGGCAAGCCUGGACCGGGGAGGCCGAGUGGAGCCCCGAGCACGGGGUGGAGAGUGUGAGUGGCGGGGGCUGGGGCUUGGCAUCACAGAGAGCCUGGGCCUGUGUGGAGUGCUGAGCUGGUGCAGGUCAGAACAGGCUGGCUCUCCCAUAGAAUGUCCCGGGGACUCUGGCGCUGCAGCAGGGCCCUCACGCUGCCUGCCUCUGGGGCUCUGUGCCCACUGGCUGCCCUGCUGUGAAGACAUGGGACUUGGGGCACUGCCAGCCUGUCCUGCUCUAUGCGUUCCACAGCUGCCCAGGGGGACCAUCCCUCAGGCCCCACCAAAGCUGGGCAGGGCCAGGCUGCCUGCUCUGAGGGCCAUCCUCUCCCAGCCCAAGCCCAGCAGCCACCUCCCAGCCUCUGCUCUCCCUGCAAGUGUGAGAAAUAUGAAAGAAAGCAUUAAGUUGGGCUCAGCCCUAAACCCAGCACCGGGGGGCUCCUGCCAUCCUCUGGGGUGCUCCCAACCUCCUUACUCAUGUGGGCCCAGGUCUCACAAAAGCAAAGCCCCUUCGUGUCACAUCUCUUGGUACCAACUGGGCAGCAGUCUCCAAAAUUGCCACACACAGGCACCCAGUGGUGCGGGGACCUGGCUUGUGGCUUUGGGGGCAACCAGUAAGUGCGGCCCUGUGGCAACUCAGCAUCCCUUUCUGGGCCUCCCUAUCCUCUGCUGGCACCCUGCACCCAGUGGAUUUUUUCCCCCCGGGUGGCUCAGAUGUUGUCAAGGGACACCUUAGCCAUGGGGCAGCUGUUCAAGGGGAACUGAAAAACUGCUGAGAUCAAAGUCCUCACUGCACAUUUACAGACAUGAAAUCCUUGCGAAUGCACCUGUGUCACCAGCUUGGCCACCCUGCCAUGGGCGCCACCGAGCUUCCUGCUUGGAGAUUAACAAAGAGGCGCCUGUAGAAUUUUGGACUUUCCACCACCCUGGGGGUUUCCGUGGCAGCCCCUUACCACAGGUGACCAGAGCUACCAGGAUGUGUGGAGGCAGGGGCCCGAGGCCAGGGCCCCAGCCCAGCCUUCAGCAGGCCACUGCCUUCAUGGGGUUAAACCUUGGUUCCUUGGCCAGGCGUGGGGUGCAGUGACUAGGCAGGCCUGCAAACCUCUGGCCUCACCUGCAGGGGAGUGAGCCUGGCAGCCCUUCCUUCAGCGUUGUUAUUUCCCAUGUCAGGCUCUGCUAGCCCACCAGGCCCCAGGCCUGUGCUGACUCCUUUUCAGCUGCAAUGUCUGUUAGGUUGAUGUGAUUAUUAUCCCCACUCUACAGAUAAGGAGGCUGAGGCACAGAGAGGUCAAGGGACUUGCCCAAAAUCACACAGCCAGUAAAUGGCCUUGGGUAGAUGAUAUCCAUGGUCUAGCACACAGGACAGUCCUUUGGUGCCCUGUCAGGUUUGUCAGCUUGCAAAGUGGGGCAAGUGCUUCCUGGGUGACACACCCAGAGGUCAGGGAGGAGGGAGGUCCCAGUGUCAGGGCAGGGUAGGACUAGAGGGGCCCUGUUCCUUGGCUGUAUGGCCUUGGCUGCCUCAAGGACGCCUGGAUGCUGAUCCUUUUCCCUUGCCCCAGGUGGAAACUUCAGUCUGUGCUGCUCUCCCAAAAGGGCUGGGGUCUCAGGGGUCAGGAGUUCUGAGUCAGAAUGACCUCAGGGUACUUGGAAUACCAUCCCAGGCCCAUCUCAAGGAACAGGGCAAGGGGGACCUUGGACACUACCCCCUGAGUACCUCCCAGGUGGUGGGGCACCAGUGGAGGUUUGGUCUCCUGGUCACACUUUACCAGGACUUUCACACCCUCUUGGUCACCAGCUAGCUGUGUGAUCCUUUCUGGGCCUCAGUUUCCCCAUGAAAGAUGCUGAACAUCACUAAUCAUUAGAGAAAUGCAAAUUAAAACCAAUUGAGAUACCACUUCACACCCACUAGGAUGGCAAUUACCAAAAAACAGAAAAUAACAAGUGUGGGUAAAGGUAUGCAGAAAUCAGAACCCUUGGACACUGACAGUUGGGAACAUAAAAUGGUGUACCCACUGUGGAAAAACAUUUGGUGGUUUCUCAAAACAUAGAAUUAAAACCAGCGAUUCCACAGCCAGGCAUACACCCAAGAGAACUGAAAGCAGAUGUCCAAACAAAACUUGGACACGAACAUUCAUAGCAGCACUAUUCACAGCAGCCAAGGGUGGAAACAAUCCAAACAUCCAUCUACGGAAGAAUGGAUAAACCACAGGUGGUCCAUCCGUGCAAUAGAGUGUUACUUAGCCAUAAAAAAGAGUGAAGUACUGAUACAUGCUACAAUGUGUAUAGACCUAUAAAACAUGCUAAGCAAAAUAAGCCACAUAUGGUAUGAUUCCAUUUACAUGAAACACCCAGAACAGGCAGAUCCAUGGAAGAGCAGAUUGGUGAUUUCCACUGGCUGGGGAGACGGGGAAUAGGGAGUGACUGCCUAGUGAGUACGACCUUUCCCUUUGGGGAGAUCAAAAAGUUCUGGAAAUAGUGGUAAUGCUUAUGUAACAGUGUGAUAUACUAAUUGCUACUGAAUUUUGAAAUUUCAAAUGAUUAAAAUGAUAUGUUUUAUAUUAUGUGUAUUUUACAGUAAUAAAAGUUAAUUCUAAGAAUCAGUUGGGCAUAUUUGUGUGGGUGCAUUUCUGGGUUCUCUAUU